GACAGAGGGUGCAAACGUUGUUCGGAAUUACUGGGCGUAAAGCGCGUGUAGGCGGCUCGGCAAGUCGGGUGUGAAAGCCCUGGGCUUAACCUAGGAAGUGCACUCGAAACUGCCAAGCUUGAGCACUGUAGAGGCAGGCGGAAUUCCGGGUGUAGCGGUGGAAUGCGUAGAGAUCCGGAAGAACACCGGUGGCGAAGGCGGCCUGCUGGGCAGUGGCUGACACUGGAGGAGCGAAAGCGU
rnacentral:rRNA from 1 species